AUGAAUUUGGUGGUUUCUACUGAAGUAGAGCAAACUUGAUUCUUCCCACAGCUCCAGAUGUUGCACGGUUUAAUUUUCAUUUUAAGAGGGAACGCCUGAGGGCAGAAACGCUCUGCAGUGCCUGCCUGGAGGUAAACGUUUGAACAGACUGCGCUCUGGAUCUGUGGGGCCUGCCGAGAUGUGAGCCGCAUUUUUCUUGAUCCUGGAUGUGUUCAGAUCCUGCAUGGUUCAGAUCCCACAGCAGUGCUAACCUUCUCUGACCAACAUCUCCUACAACAUCUUGAAUUGCCGUAGGAAAUAUGUCCGCACAGAUCCAGGAAGCAAACUGCAGGGGGCCCAGCAGGGGGCUGUGAUGUCACUCACGCAGCUCAACACCACUCAAGCAAGGGAUUUCAAUAUCACAGCCAUCAGAGGUCAAGAUCAACCAAAAGAAUCGAACAUGGAGAUGCCUGGCUGUGGCUUGUCUUUGGUCAAAUUAUGUGGCCUACACUUCUGGACUCCAGGGGUCUUUACUGAAACAUUCAGAGGGUUAGGUUUGCAGCUAUUACCAUUAUUAUUAUUUUGCAACACUAGGACGCAUCUCACUGCUUUACACUUAGUUUGUGGACUAAUUUGUGGCUUGCUUCGGUUGUUACUGACGUCUCCGGUGUGAAUUUAUACGUAAAAUAUAUCUGCACAGAAAAACUGAACUAAGCCUUGUUUAAUACUUAUUUAAGCAACUGUUUGUAAAAUAUUCCCUUAUGCAUGACAGAAUGUAAGAAUUUAAUUUCUAAGACUGAACUUUGCGUUACACCUCUUUUCAUUUUCACACCAUGCUUUCCAUUGCCUUACUUGCACUGCGGUGACCUGGUUCUGCUUUUAGAGUAAGAUUUCUGAUGGAAAAGGGACCAUGAUUGACCAUGACCAGGAUCCUGGGAUAAUUGGACUACGGUGAAAUUGAACUGACAACACAGAGGGAAACAAAAAGUGGAGCCAAAUAGCAAGUGUCAGCACUAUAUCACAUUCUCUCCUCCUCUGGCUUCUGACAGAGUCGCUGCCCGGCCAAGGAUCAACGACAGUCGCCACUCAUGCCAGGGCUGACUUUAUGUGUCACAGGCCUGGAUGGCUAAUUGAAAACAUGGUGACUCAUCUUUGACAUUAACCAUCCAGCUCAGCUUUGAGUUUCCUGCCUAAGAGAGAGCAGAGGAGCUCAGUCGGGCAGAACUGCUCCCAUCCUCAGAGCCCAGACGGAACAUGAGCAUCGACUCUCUGGAGACCAGAGUGUUACGGUUUAUUCACUCUCUUCACUGGAACGUGGAAUGAUUUGUUUGUACGAUAUUUCAAUAUCUGCUCAUAUGCAGAGUGAAAAAAAAGCAAUUUUUUUUUUUACGUGAAACAGUUCUUUAUGGAAGCCCAUGUCUGCCACGA